rnacentral:rRNA from 1 species
CCUACUUUAGUCUUCAUUAUUUAAUUUUUCUCAAUUUUCUAAAGCCUGACUCAGCAACUCCUCUUGAUCGAGACGCCCUUCGGGGUGUAAAGAUCUGUCAGUGGGGACGAAACUUGACGGUACCCACAGAGGAAGCACCGGCUAACGCCGUGCCAGCAGCCGCGGUAAUACGGGGGGUGCAAGCGUUGUCCGGAAUCAUUGGGCGUAAAGAGUUCGUAGGCGGCACGUAAAGUCUGGUGUUAAAGGCAGAGGCUCAACUUCUGUACGGCACUGGAUACUUGCGAGCUAGAAUGCGGUAGAGGUAAAGGGAAUUCCUGGUGGAGCGGUGAAAUGCUUAGAUAUCAGGAGGAACAUCGGUGGCGUAAGCGCUUUACUGGGCCGUAAUUGACGCUGAGGAACGAAAGCCAGGGUAGCAAAUGGGAUUAGAUACCCCUGUAGUC